AGUGAACGCUGGCGGUAGGCCUAACACAUGCAAGUCGAACGGCAGCACAGUAAGAGCUUGCUCUUACGGGUGGCGAGUGGCGGACGGGUGAGGAAUACAUCGGAAUCUACUUUUUCGUGGGGGAUAACGUAGGGAAACUUACGCUAAUACCGCAUACGACCUACGGGUGAAAGCAGGGGAUCUUCGGACCUUGCGCGAUUGAAUGAGCCGAUGUCGGAUUAGCUAGUUGGCGGGGUAAAGGCCCACCAAGGCGACGAUCCGUAGCUGGUCUGAGAGGAUGAUCAGCCACACUGGAACUGAGACACGGUCCAGACUCCUACUGGAGGCAGCAGUGGGGAAUAUUGGACAAUGGGCGCAAGCCUGAUCCAGCCAUACCGCGUGGGUGAAGAAGGCCUUCGGGUUGUAAAGCCCUUUUGUUGGGAAAGAAAAGCAGCAGGUUAAUACCCCGCUAUUCUGACGGUACCCAAAGAAUAAGCACCGGCUAACUUCGUG
rnacentral:rRNA from 1 species